CAGUAGCCGCGGGAAUACGGAGGGUGCUAGCGUUGUUCGGAAUCACUGGGCGUAAAGGGCGCGUAGGCGGCCUGUUAAGUCGGAUGUGAAAGCCCGGGGCUCAACCCCGGAACUGCAUCCGAGACUGGCAGGCUUGAGACCGGGAGAGGAGGGUGGAAUAUCCAGUGUAGAGGUGAAAUUCGUAGAUAUUGGAUGGAACACCGGUGGCGAAAGCGGCUCUCUGGCCCGGAUCUGACGCUGAGGCGCGAAAGCGUGGGGAGCAAACAGGAUUAGAUACCCCAGUAGUCCCUGUCUCUUAUAC
rnacentral:rRNA from 1 species